rnacentral:rRNA from 1 species
GACGAACGCUGGCGGCGUGCCUUACACAUGCAAGUCGAGCGAAGUGAGUACUACGGUACCAACUUAGCGGCGGACGGGUGAGUAACGCGUGGACAAUCUACCCUGUAGACUGGGAUAACACCUCGAAAGGGGUGCUAAUACCGGAUAAUGUCGAGAGGCGGCACCGCUUUUCGAAGAAAGGAGAGCAUCCGCUGUAGGAGGAGUCCGCGUCCCAUUAGCGAGGUGGUGAGGGUAACGGCCCACACAGGCGACGAUGGGUAGCCGGGCUGAGGGGGUGACCGGCCACACUGGAAGUGCGACACGGGACAGACCCGUACGGGGGGCAGCAGGGGGGAAUAUUGUGCAAUGGGGGAAGCCCUGACACAGCAGCGCCGCGUGAGCGAAGAAGGCCUUCGGGUUGUAAAGCUCAAUAGUCUGGGAAGAUGAUGACGGUACCAUACGAUAGCCCCGGCUAACUACGUGCCAGCCGCCGCGGUAACAC